UACGUAGGGUCCGAGCGUUGUCCGGAAUUAUUGGGCGUAAAGGGCUCGUAGGCGGUUUGUCGCGUCGGGCGUGAAAACUCAGGGCUCAACCCUGAGCGUGCUUCCGAUACGGGCAGACUAGAGGUAUGCAGGGGAGAACGGAAUUCCUGGUGUAGCGGUGGAAUGCGCAGAUAUCAGGAGGAACACCAGCGGCGAAGGCGGCGCUCUGGGCCGGUACUGACGCUGAGGAGCGAAAGCGUGGGUAGUAAACAGG
rnacentral:rRNA from 1 species